UCUGUUUAAGGUGAGCAGCUACACAUAAAAGAAGAACAUGGAGAAUCUGCCCAGAGGUGUUAACCAGCAAUGCAGCUAUACAACUAAAUUGAUGCAGGCGGAAACAAUAAUGCAGCUGCUGCAGAUGAAGAAUCCGUCCGUCUACCACUGAAGGAGACGCGGAAAAUCGGGAAAAGAUGUUCUUUGCCCGAGGAAGCAUUUGAUUAAUUUAAAGAUAUUGUGUUUCUUUGUAUGUUAUAGAAAAACGUUGCUUUUUUGCAUACACUCGUGUAAAUAUGCAUCUUAUGAAUGUUUUCCUUUGUCUAAUUUUAAUAAAUUUUACGCAAUCAA